GAAUUGACGGGGGCCCGCACAAGCAGUGGAGUAUGUGGUUUAAUUCGAAGCAACGCGAAGAACCUUACCAGGGCUUGACAUCCAUAGAAUCCGCAAGAGAUUGUGGAGUGCCUUCGGGAGCUAUGAGACAGGUGGUGCAUGGUUGUCGUCAGCUCGUGUCGUGAGAUGUUGGGUUAAGUCCCGCAACGAGCGCAACCCUUGUCGUUAGUUGCCAUCAUUAAGUUGGGAACUCUAACGAGACUGCCGGUGACAAAUCGGAGGAAGGUGGGGAUGACGUCAAAUCAUCAUGCCCCUUAUGUCCUGGGCUACACACGUACUACAAUGGCUGUUAACCAAGGGAAGCAAAGCAGUGAUGCAGAGCAAAUCCCCAAAAGCAGUCCCAGUUCAGAUUGUAGGCUGAAACUCGCCUACAUGAAGUCGGAAUUGCUAGUAAUCGCGGAUCAGCAUGCCGCGGUGAAUACGUUCCCGGGCCUUGUACACACCG
rnacentral:rRNA from 1 species